rnacentral:rRNA from 1 species
CCUACGGGAGGCAGCAGUAAGGAAUAUUGGUCAAUGGGCGCAAGUCUGAACCAGCCAUGCCGCGUGCAGGAUGACGGCCCUCUGGGUUGUAAACUGCUUUUAUAGGGGACGAAAAAAGGGCUUUCUAGCUCGUCUGACGGUACCCUAGGAAUAAGCACCGGCUAACUCCGUGCCAGCAGCCGCGGUAAUACGGAGGGUGCAAGCGUUAUCCGGAUUUACUGGGUUUAAAGGGUGCGUAGGUGGGUCGGUAAGUCAGCGGUGAAAUCUUCGAGCUUAACUCGGAAACUGCCAUUGAUACUAUCGAUCUUGAAUCAUCUGGAGGUAAGCGGAAUAUGUCAUGUAGCGGUGAAAUGCUUAGAUAUGACAUAGAACACCAAUUGCGAAGGCAGCUUACUACGGAUGCAUUGACACUGAGGCACGAAAGCGUGGGGAUCAAACAGGAUUAGAUACCCUGGUAGUCCACGCCCUAAACGAUGGAUACUCGACAUUUGAGAUAUACUUUAAGUGUCUGAGCGAAAGCAUUAAGUAUCCCACCUGGAAGUACGAUCGCAAGAUUAGAAACUCAAAGUAGUAGUAGACGUGAGAGACGACGACGACGACGACGACGGAGGGAGGAGG